rnacentral:rRNA from 1 species
UACGGAGGGUGCAAGCGUUAUUCGGAAUUAUUGGGCGUAAAGGGCGCGCAGGCGGCCAUUUAAGUCAGAUGUGAAAGCCCGGGGCUUAACCCCGGAAGUGCAUUUGAUACUGGACGGCUUGAGUAUGGGAGAGGGAAGUGGAAUUCCUGGUGUAGAGGUGAAAUUCGUAGAUAUCAGGAGGAACACCGGUGGCGAAGGCGACUUCCUGGACCAAUACUGACGCUGAGGCGCGAAGGCGUGGGGAGCAAACAGGAUUAGAUACCCUGGUAGUCCACGCAGUAAACGUUGAUCACUAGGUGUAGCGGGUAUUGACCCCUGCUGUGCCGAAGCUAACGCAUUAAGUGAUCCGCCUGGGGAGUACGGCCGCAAGGUUAAA